rnacentral:rRNA from 1 species
GCUUUUGGCGUGCUUAACACAUGCAAGUCGAACGGAAAGGCCCUGCUUUUGUGGGGUGCUCGAGUGGCGAACGGGUGAGUAACACGUGAGUAACCUGCCCUUGACUUUGGGAUAACUUCAGGAAACUGGGGCUAAUACCGGAUAGGAGCUCCUGCUGCAUGGUGGGGGUUGGAAAGUUUCGGCGGUUGGGGAUGGACUCGCGGCUUAUCAGCUUGUUGGUGGGGUAGUGGCUUACCAAGGCUUUGACGGGUAGCCGGCCUGAGAGGGUGACCGGCCACAUUGGGACUGAGAUACGGCCCAGACUCCUACGGGAGGCAGCAGUGGGGAAUAUUGCACAAUGGGCGGAAGCCUGAUGCGGCAACGCCGCGUGCGGGAUGACGGCCUUCGGGUUGUAAACCGCUUUCGCCUGUGACGAAGCGUGAGUGACGGUAAUGGGUAAAGAAGCACCGGCUAACUACGUGCCAGCAGCCGCGGUGAUACGUAGGGUGCGAGCGUUGUCCGGAUUUAUUGGGCGUAAAGGGCUCGUAGGUGGUUGAUCGCGUCGGAAGUAUAAUCUUGGGGCUUAACCCUGAGCGUGCUUUCGAUACGGGUUGACUUGAGGAAGGUAGGGGAGAAUGGAAUUCCUGGUGGAGCGGUGGAAUGCGCAGAUAUCAGGAGGAACACCAGUGGCGAAGGCGGUUCUCUGGGCCUUUCCUGACGCUGAGGAGCGAAAGCGUGGGGAGCGAACAGGCUUAGAUACCCUGGUAGUCCACGCUGUAAACGGUGGGUACUAGGUGUGGGGUCCAUUCCACGGGUUCCGUGCCGUAGCUAACGCUUUAAGUACCCCGCCUGGGGAGUACGGCCGCAAGGCUAAAACUCAAAGGAAUUGACGGGGUCCCGCACAAGCGGCGGAGCAUGCGGAUUAAUUCGAUGCAACGCGUAGAACCUUACCUGGGUUUGACAUGGAUCGGGAGUGCUCAGAGAUGGGUGUGCCUCUUUUGGGGUCGGUUCACAGGUGGUGCAUGGCUGUCGUCAGCUCGUGUCGUGAGAUGUUGGGUUAAGUCCCGCAACGAGCGCAACCCUUGUUCACUGUUGCCAGCACGUUAUGGUGGGGACUCAGUGGAGACCGCCGGGGUCAACUCGGAGGAAGGUGGGGAUGACGUCAAGUCAUCAUGCCCCUUAUGUCCAGGGCUUCACGCAUGCUACAAUGGCUGGUACAGAGAGUGGCGAGCCUGUGAGGGUGAGCGAAUCUCGGAAAGCCGGUCUCAGUUCGGAUUGGGGUCUGCAACUCGACCUCAUGAAGUCGGAGUCGCUAGUAAUCGCAGAUCAGCAACGCUGCGGUGAAUACGUUCCCGGGGCUUGUACACACCGCCCGUCAAGUCAUGAAAGUUGGUAACACCCGAAGCCGGUGGCCUAACCGUUGUGGGGGAGCCGUCGAAGGUGGGACUGGUGAUUAGGACUAA